rnacentral:rRNA from 1 species
AUCUGCCUGAGAGUGUGGAAUAACCUGGGGAAACUCGGACUAAUACCGCAUACGCUCGCAUGGUUGCGACCAUGCGAGGAAAGUUGGCCUCUGUUUACAAGCUGACGCUCCCAGAGGAGUCCGCGCCUGAUUAGCUAGUUGGUGGGGUAAUGGCCUACCAAGGCGACGAUCAGUAGCCGGCCCUGAGAGGGUGACCGGCCACACUGGGACUGAGACGACGGCCCAG